AGAGUUUGAUCCUGGCUCAGGAUGAACGCUAGCGGCAGGCUUAAUACAUGCAAGUCGAGGGGCAGCACGGGUAGCAAUACCUGGUGGCGACCGGCAAACGGGUGCGGAACACGUACGCAACCUUCCUUUAAGUGGGGGAUAGCCCAGGGAAACUUGGAUUAAUACCCCUUAACAUUAUGAGAUGGCAUCAUUUUAUAAUUAAAGCUCCGGCGCUUAAAGAUGGGCGUGCGCCUGAUUAGGUAGUUGGCGGGGUAACAGCCCACCAAGCCUACGAUCAGUAACUGGUGUGAGAGCACGACCAGUCACACGGGCACUGAGACACGGGCCCGACUCCUACGGGAGGCAGCAGUAAGGAAUAUUGGUCAAUGGACGCAAGUCUGAACCAGCCAUGCCGCGUGGAGGAUGACGGCCCUCUGGGUUGUAAACUCCUUUUAUCUGGGAAGAAAUGCAGUUUUUCUAAACUGUUGACGUACCAGAG
rnacentral:rRNA from 1 species